rnacentral:rRNA from 1 species
AUUGAACGCUGGCGGCAGGCCUAACACAUGCAAGUCGAGCGAGCGGCGGACGGGUGAGUAAUGUCUGGGGAACUGCCUGCUAGAGGGGGAUAACUACUGGAAACGGUGGCUAAUACCGCAUACUAUAGGAUGCCCCCAUAUGGGAUUAGCUAGUAGGAGGGGUAAAGGCUCACUGAGGCAACGAUCUCUAGCUGGUCUGAAAGGAUGAUCAGCCACACUGGGACUGAGACACGGUCCAGACUCCUACGGGAGGCAGCAGUGGGGAAUAUUGCACAAUGGGCGCAAGCCUGAUGCAGCCAUGCCGCGUGUAUGAAGAAGGCCUUCGGGUUGUAAAGUACUUUCAGCGGGGAGGCGUUACCCGCAGAAGAAGCACCGGCUAACUCCGUGCCAGCAGCCGCGGUAAUUC